UAUAACUCAAAUGGAGGAGGGGAGCUGGUGUGAGAGAAAGAGACAAAUGGGGAGAAUGUCUUCAUGCACCGCAUGAGGGAAGGAUUGGUGAAAGAGCACCAGGAAGAGGAUUAAAUCUCCAAACCCUUGGUGGGGGAGAUCCAAAUGGAUGAGGCCUCCUUAGGAGUGUGACAAAGAAGGAUGGAUUUUGGGGAUUGUGGAUAGAAAUGGACAAAGAGAUCUUAAACUCAGACUAAUGACGGGGGCUUGCAGGACAGAGGAGGGUCAGGUAUUUCCUCAAAUAGCCCAGUGUGGCUGCAGAGGGAAUCCGCAGCCCCACGGAGCAGGAAUGUGUGCACCUGGUCUCCUGCAAGAGCACCAGCAUACAGGCCAAACACUGCGCCGUGCUUUUGGAUUCACAACAGAAUAUUGCCAAAAAUAAACCUGUAAAAACUAUAAACAAAUAAGAAUUCUGUGUGAAUUCACUGCUGCCUUUCUAGGAGCAGGGAGAUGGACAGAUGGGACAACAUGCAGAGUCUAUUUGCAGGAAGCUCACAGCUCUGUCAACACCAAGAGCUGAGCACACAUUCCUCAUAUCAUCACCGCCGGCUUUUAUUUUGGUAUGGCAUACACCGAGAGAGCUCUGAUC